UGGUUUCAUUUGGGAAAAGUUCCGUUCUUCUGAAGGUAAUUCUCACGUUUUUGGUGCUAGUGAACCUGGAAGUAGCAGCUCUAGAUUGUUGGAGAUGCAUGCAAAGAUGUGAUGGUCAGUACAAAAAUUCCUUCGUAAGAUGCACUUCGAGAGAAGUGGAUGGAGAUCAAAACAACAUGAAAUCCAGAUACAAUAUGGGCUUUGCUUUUGAUACCUCGUCUCCAGCUGCUUGUUUUACCUUUGUGGGAACAAAUAACUUAAAAAUAAGAGGCUGUGGACACCUGAAAGCGACCCCUAUUGCAGGAGGGUACACUCUUAAAACGUCGCAACAGCGGAAAUAAAUGCAACAAUUUUACUUGAAGCUCUUCAAUUGGAAGGAUAAUUGGUUAUUAGGAAAUGUCAAUAAGUUGAAACUUAUCAGAAGCACUGAAGACCAACUUCAAGCAUCAACAAAUUUUCUGAUUGGGUACGUGAAAUAAAAAUUUUUGUAAUCAUUUAAAAUUAAAAUGAGGUCUUUCUAAAGAAAAUUAUUUUAAAAAAUUCAAAAGCUUUGGCAUAACGUAAAAAUUGCAUGGAAAAAAUAAAUAAACAUUCAAUUGGAAAAUUCAAA